AUGGCGCUCUUAGCCUUAACCUUAAGCCCCAACACCUCUCUCCCUCUCCCUCUCCCUCUCCCUCUCCGCAUUAUCCAUUUCUCUCCAAUUUCUCAAUCCCUCUCCUUCACAAAUAACCGCUCCACCGCCCGAGCUCUACCUCUACCGUCGUCUUCUCCAAUGGCUUCCAGCGGAAGAGAGGUUCUUCCGCCUGCUCUCGAUUCUUCGUCGGAACCGCCGCCGAUCUUUGACGGAACUCCUAAGCUGUACAUAUCAUAUUCAUGUCCUUAUGCUCAACGCGCCUGGAUUACAAGGAACUGUAAGGGGCUUGAAGAAACAAUAAAACUGGUGCCUAUCGACCUGAAGAACAGACCAAGUUGGUACAAGGAAAAAGUUUACCCCGAAAACAAGGUACCUUCACUAGAACACAAUAACCAAGUUAAGGGGGAGAGUCUUGACUUGAUUCGAUAUAUCGAUACCAACUUUGAAGGGCCAUUGCUUUUUCCUAAGGAGGCGGCGAAGAGGGAGUUUGGGGAAGAAUUACUAGAAUACGCCGGAUCCUUCUACACGGCCGUGAUUACUUCUCUCAAGGGUAACACGAUGAAUGAAGCCGACGCGGCUUUUGAUCACAUCGAAACUGCACUCUCGAAAUUCAAUGACGGACCAUUCUUUCUCGGUCAAUUCAGUUUGGUGGACAUUGCCUAUGUUCCUUUUAUCGAGCGAUUUCAAGCCUUCUUUUUUGAUGUAAAGAAUUAUGACAUCGCUAUAGGAAGGCCAAAGUUCGCCCUAUGGAUUGAGGAGAUGGACAAAAUCGAGGCAUAUAAGAUAACCAAACGUGAUCCAAAGGAGCAUGUCGAGAGCUACAGAAAACGUUUCUUGUCCUCCCUAUGAAAUCCCAAACAGAAAAGAUCCGAGGCAGCGACAAAUAUCUAUUGUAAGAAUCUGGCCACUUAAUUCUCAGGAGUAAAAAGAAUCUAUUACUGGUAGACAUCUAUUCGAUAGAAUGAAGGAAGCAGAAAAAUGGCGCAGGAUGUGUGUACCUAUGUAUAUUUCGCGGUUGGGGAAGAGAAUCCUGAUGAUGCUGCGGAAGAAGAAGACGACGCGAGUGGCAUUUUCCAUUGCCAGUUUGCGAGUGUAGUCACAGCAACAGCUUCAGCGUUAAUUCCUGGAGCUCUUUCCUAACCGAAAGAAAAUUGAAAUUAAUUUGUUGUAAGAAGACAUAUGGAUGUAAAAUUGGAUACCUUGUCUAUUUAUCGAACUUUUCUGUGGCAAAAAUUGCUUUCAUUUUCACAAUGUUCAAA